rnacentral:rRNA from 1 species
GAGUUUGAUCCUGGCUCAGGACGAACGCUGGCGGCGCGCCUAACACAUGCAAGUCGAACGGAGCUGAGAGGAGCUUGCUUUUCUUAGCUUAGUGGCGAACGGGUGAGUAACGCGUGAGUAACCUGCCCUGGAGUGGGGGACAACAGUUGGAAACGACUGCUAAUACCGCAUAAGCCCACGAUCCGGCAUCGGAUUGAGGGAAAAGGAUUUAUUCGCUUCAGGAUGGACUCGCGUCCAAUUAGCUAGUUGGUGAGGUAACGGCCCACCAAGGCGACGAUCAGUAGCCGGCCUGAGAGGGUGAACGGCCACAUUGGGACUGAGACACGGCCCAGACUCCUACGGGAGGCAGCAGUGGGGAAUAUUGCACAAUGGGGGAAACCCUGAUGCAGCGACGCCGCGUGAAGGAAGAAGUAUCUCGGUAUGUAAACUUCUAUCAGCAGGGAAGAAAAUGACGGUACCUGACUAAGAAGCCCCGGCUAACUACGUGCCAGCCGCCGCGGUAAUUC